rnacentral:lncRNA from 1 species
UCCCCUCUAAGUCUUUUUUGUAAAUCCCAUUCAUCUGUUGCUCAGUGCUGGGUAUAUACUGGUGGCCCAGACAGACCUAACCCCUUACUUCAAAGUAACAGACACUGAGUAAUGAAUGACGCAGUUUAUCACGAUCCUUUGGCAUCCACUAAUAAUUUUUGAUAAAUCUAGAGUAUAAAAUAUUCUUGGUGACUGGGUCCACUUGGCUUUCUGGACGCCUGACCAACACUGUGGGUGGCAUAGUCCAUAGACUGUAGGUUCAAAAAUAAUCUUACAGGAUUACUUUGGAGAUCAUAUGAGGUACCUAAUGUAAAAGUGCUUUGUAAACUUUAAAGCAUCAUUUCUUUCUUCCAGAGCACCUAGUAUAUAAUGUGAAUGUUAGAGGAAACACAGGAUUAAAGUCUAUUCAUAUACUCAGCAACGCCCCACUCUACUGGUACCAAUUAACUGUAUUAGUCCAUUUUCAUGCUGCUGAUAAAGACAUACCCGAGACUGGGAUUUUUAUUUGGAUUGUGUUGAAUCUACAGAACAAUUUGAGAAAAACUGCCAUCUAAAUAAUAAUAGGUCUUCUAGUUCAUAACUACUGUACAUCACUCUCCAUAUUUAGGUCUUUAAUUUCUACCAGCAACAUUUGAUAGUUUUCAGUGAAGAGGUGUUGCAUGUUUGUUGUUAAAUUUAUUCCCAAGUAUUCCACGUUU